rnacentral:rRNA from 1 species
AAGCGGAGGAAAAGAAAUUAACAAAGAUUCCCUCAGUAACGGCGAGUGAAGUGGGAAGUAGCCCAGCACCGAAUCCUCGCGGCCUAGCGCCGUGCGGACCUGUGGUGUUUGGGGCCCCGGCUUUCGUCCGCUGCCUACGCACCUCAGUCGCAUUGAAGGGGCUCUCGCUCCAUAGCGGGUGUCAGGCCCUUGUGGCUGCGUGGCCGGGCGAAGGUUCCAGGGGACCCUCGAGUCGGGUUGUUUGAGAGUGCAGCCCAAAGACGGUGGUAAGCACCAUCGAAGGCUAAAUAUGUCCACGAGUCCGACAGCGAACAAGUACCGUGAGGGAACGUUGAAAAGGACUUCUGAGUGAGAGUUCAAAGUACGUGAAACUGCCUAAAGGGAAACGAGUGGCUCCGCAUAGUCGGCCGGCGGCGUUCACCUCGAUCGCGCUCGCUUCGGCAGCCCGCGAGUUUCCGUGCCUGGUUGGGUCGCAAGACCUUUGAUCGGCGCGGCCGCGGACUUGUCCGGACGGGCACAUCGGGUGCAUUCGCCGCCUGGCAGGGCGUCACGAUCGCUUUCGCGCGAGUCUACGUCGGCGAUGCCGGCGCGUUUGGUGGACGUCCUCACGGGCGACCGCUCUACGUGCGGCGCGUCUUCGAGCUAGCGUCGGGAGCGUGUAACGAUCACCGUACAAGAAGGGGUCGGACGACCGAUAACGCUGUCCAACGGCGAGCCUUCGGGUGGCACCUUCACGGGAGCUGCCUGUCGAGGCACCCGUGGACGGCGCGGUCGACCCUGUGCGGUUAUGGAUCGGUGGCGAAUGAGUCGGCCUG